GGCAAAGGGAGGGCGUGCGGUUCCCCGCACCCCGCUGCGCUUCUCCCUGCCUUGUCCCUUAGAGCCUCUCACCCAUCCCGCCCUGGUACCCAGUUCCCGGCCCGCGCUACUGCGCGUCCGUCCCGGAUGCUGUGGGCCCGGGGACCAGGGCGUCCCCACUGCGGUUCCUGUUCCUCUCCGGCUGCGGCCCGCCACAGGGUUCACUCUCUUACCCAUCUUCCUCCGCCUCUGGCUUCACCUUCUCCCUGGAGCCUUGCUCCCUAACUGCCCCCUAUCAGUAAGAAUGCCCGCUUGCCCUCCCUGCCCUUCAUCUCAGUCCAUCACCCCACCUCCACCCCAUCCCCACCCCUCCCCUUCCCAGUGCAGGAGAUCCCUGGGCAGAGGCCUAGGGGGAGGGGAGGGGCGCAGGCGCCCUUACCUCGGCCAUCGACAUUCAAGGUGGAGUCCAUUCCGACAUCAUUUGAUUCUCAAAUGAGGGGUUUGAAGGGGUCACAGGUGUGCACACAGUGCACAGGAAUACACACUCUCAAGCUCACUUGUAUGUGUGAUCGUGCACUUACGUGUGCCCACACCGUUCUCAUGCACUCCUGCCGACCUGACUGUCCCACACAUGCACCUCUCCAGGCAUGCACACGGGCACAUAUGUGAUCCGGACAUUCAAACGCGCAUAUGUACACAUUCACACAUGCAUGUAUACAGUCGUGUCUGCAUAAGCCCUCACAUGUAUACAGUCACACAAACACACACAUUCAUGAGUGCACACACACACUGACACCCAUCAACAAACAAACAGAUGCAUCUUCAACAAUAUAGACUUCACCAGACUGUGAGUGUCUCCAUGGGCUUAUGAGCUCUGCAGGCAGGGAUUAUGGUUUCUUCUCUGAAUUCCUGGUAUACAGUAGGGUUCAAGAAAGUUUUGUAGAAGGGAAUAAAUAGAAAAGUGGUGAAAUGGACUCAUAUCUGUGUACCCAUCCAUGUGCUAGGACCAAAUUCAUCUUGCCCUAGAAACCUUGCCAAGUCCAAAUAAUAUGCCUCCCAACCCCAAAAGCAUGCCACCCACCCCCAUGCUUACCCCUUUCCUGUUCCCUCCAUUUCUUCGUUCCCAGACAUCAAGACCCUGGAGCACAGAGUUGAUGGGGGUGUCUGCAAAGUCUAUCCCAACACCCAAAUCUUAACCAUGUUUGGAUUUCAGUUUCCUCCUGGAAAAAAAAAAAAUCUCACUACCCUCCCCAGUUAUGGAAACAAAAGGG
rnacentral:lncRNA from 1 species